rnacentral:rRNA from 1 species
CGUGUAACGAUGAUCUCCGUAAUGACUUGUCAGUGCAAGCGAAAGUGAUAAGUAUCACUUGGGGAAGUACGACGCCAGUGAACUCAAGGAAUUGACGGGGCCGCACAAGCGGUGGAGCAUGUGUUAAUCGAUGAUACGCGAGGAACCUUAUCAGGGCUUAAAUGCAGAACGACAGAGGUGGAAACACCUCGAUCCUUCGGACGGUCUGCAACGUGCUGCAUGGUAGUCGUCAGCUCGUGCUGUGAAGUGUCGGGAUAAGUCCCAUAACGAGCGCAAUCCCCUAUUUCUAGUUGCCAGCGGUUCGUCCGGGGACUCUAGAGAAACCGCCAGCGUAAGCUGUGAGGAAGGCGGGGAUGUCGUCAAAUCAUCAACUAUCCUACGUAAUCGGUUCCUCACGUCUUGCAAUCGUAGGGACAGAGCCGAGGUCCUAUCGAGGGUUCCAUAAUAACAAUUCAUGGCUCAGUUCGGCUCGGAGCACUCUAAUUGCCUCAAAGUAAAAGUAAUGGAUAGUACUCCCCUCUCACACAUGCAGCUGCGAUUUCCAAGAAGGUCCUCAGGUCCUCCCAGAUACUCACCAUCAGGGCGGGGGGCGUCGUGAAGUCCAGAAAUGUAAGGAGCGAGCUAGGGCGCGCAUCAACUUGGAUAUAAGUUAUAGGCAAGGGAAUUCGCGCGGCCGCUGGCACC